rnacentral:rRNA from 1 species
UACGAAGGGGGGCGAGCGUUGUUCGGAUUUACUGGGCGUAAAGGGCGCGCAGGCGGCCAUUCAAGUCAGGCGUGAAAGCCCCGGGCUUAACCUGGGAGGUGCGCUUGGGACUGGAUGGCUAGAGAUCGGGAGAGGAGAGUGGAAUUCCCAGUGUAGAGGUGAAAUUCGUAGAUAUUGGGAAGAACACCGGUGGCGAAGGCGGCGU